CCGCUCUCUCUCAUUGGUUCGCGCCAGUCCUCUCCAGUUUCUCAUUGGCUAUGGCUUUUAGAGCUCUAGUUCUCAUUGGCUGCCACAUAUCCUUGGACGGCGUCAGCGGGAAGAAGUACAAACCCGUGCACUGUGAUUUCAGCUUACCAUUGCUUCCCAGAGUGCGGUAGAAGGAAGACCUAUCCAGUGACUGUGCAGAGUAAACCAGAGUCUACACAACUCUACUCCAGCAUGAAGGCUCAAGUCUGUGACUCUCCAAUCAACAGCCUGCCUGCCAUCAGGAGCGGGAAGGUGUCAAAGGGCCGCGAGGAAGACUUCGAAGUGGCCCUCUACCUGGACAAGCUGCGACACCUGUUGCCCACCGCCAGGAGCAGAAAAUCACUUGACAAGAAACUCAACCGCUUGGAAGUGAUCGAAAGUGUUAUCCAGUACAUCAGUGAGCUACAGGAGGUCCUCAACAUCGAUGUCCACGACCGUGAGAUGGACCUCCUCGAGUUCGAAACGAGCAGCAUAACCCUAGCGGCGUGAAGUCCCCCCCAAGAGGGGGAUAGUUCGGAGAGUCACCUGAUGUUCUGCACUUAGCCUUGUGGUCGUCCAGCACCUGACGCACGACCUCGCUUGCCGGCGGGGAUAGAGGACGACACCCACCACGACGAGUGAUCACGACUUGGCCGUGCCAAGACAGUCGUAUAGCGAACUGGAGGCUCCUGUGAGACUUGUCGUGGAGGAUCCAGACCUCAGUUUACCGCUAGAAACUCUCAUAUAAGUGUUCCCGCCAAUCAAGUCGUGUGUGUGUCGUUACACAGAACUUUGGUUAAGUGCAUAUAAGCGUUAAGUGAACUCUAAUGACAUAGUUCCUAUCUUUUAAUACCGCCCAGAAUAAACGCUGAAAUUGAGAGACAGGGGCUCUUGAGAAAUUCCAGUGUUUGCCAAGUGAUUUAAUCUAUGAACAGUCAAAACAGUACAAGAUUUCGCGAGAUCCUGUUCCCAGUGAUGUCAAUCAUCUGCAGCAAGAGAAGUUAUCUAUUGAUCUCUAGGAUGCAUUAUCUACUUUGAUUCUUCACUUGCCUCAACCGUCUUCGAAUUCACCUGCCAGGCUGUGGCAUCACGCAAGAAGCAGACGCAAGACGCAAAAAGCACACGCAAAAAGCAGACGCAAGACGCAACACUUUUAAGGCCAAAUUUUCCCAUAUAACAUAAAUAUUCUACAUACAUGAAAUUCUUAUUAAAGUCACGGAGCUUUAAAACAGUUCAUGGUACACAGUGCACGGUACACACGGUACAUGCCACACGGUACACGGUACAUACCACAGUUCUCGAAAGCAACACACAAAUGCCACUGAAACAAAAACAGUUUCCUUCACACAACAAACCGCAAGUAAAUUCGCACAAUUACAUCAGGGGAAGAAGAGACGUCACCCCCAAGAGUGGCGUCAGAUGUCAGGCCUGACAUCACUCCGUAAAGAAACAUCCACUCCCGUAUCCAGAGAGUUCAUCUCCCAGCCAUGGAGAUGCUAUCACAGCGUGAUGUCACCGCAGGAUGCUAGAGGUUCAGUGCGGCGCUGUGAGAUGAAGGGAGGCUGUGGGGAGGCUGUGGAGUGGGGUGGGGGUGGGGGAGAAGGGUAUGGAAGCGCCUUUGGCAGAUGUGGGUAACCCCUUCCUUCCCCCUCCCUCCAUUAAACACCACCCAGGAUGAGACAGGUGUUUCUCCUCAGGAUGGUGGGGAGGAGGUGUGGGGGGCGUGGGUCCUCCAUCUCUACAGCAUCCUCAUCCUCUCCCGUAGCAUCCUUCACAUCCCUUCCAUUGAAUCCUUCCCGGCAAGCCUUCUUUCCUCUCGGUGCUUUGCACAGGUGAAAUGGAAAUUAAA
rnacentral:lncRNA from 1 species